CUCUCUCUCUCUCUCUCUAUCCUGCCAGCCACAUGAAGAUAUGCCUGCUUCCCUUUUGCCUUCUACCAUGAUUGUAAGUUUCCUGAGGGGUCCCCAGCCAUGCCUCCUGUACAGCCUGCAGAACUAUUCAAAAAGCUGGGCGGCAGAUCCAAGAUGGCCACAUAGGAACAGCUCUGGAGUGCAGUUCCCAACGAGAGCAAUGCAGAGGGUAACUGAGUUUGAAUUGAGGACUGGAACGUGGCUCCCCUAUGGCCAAGGUGGAAGGACCCCAGAUUGUCAUCUUAACCACUCCAACCUCCGUGAAGGUUGAGGGUAUUCCUGCAUGGAUCCAUCACAGCUGUGUGAAACCUGCAGCACCGGAAACCUGGGAAGUGAAGCCAGAUCUCCACGACAUGUGCAAAAUCACCUUGAGAGCUGAGACAAGUCCUGCCCAGUCACAUCCCAGGAGCUGACUGGUCUAUGCAUAGACGAAGCAUGAGGAUUUCCAUAUGGGACAGGUCCUUCCUUCUUUUGAACUGUGGACUUGUGUCCUUACUACCUUAAUUAAUACAAAUCUCCAAUCCAAAGAUUGCUCCCAGCAUAUACACAACGUCACUAAGGUGGGACAAAAGAUUACAAAGGUCCUCUUGUUUAUGGUUAUUAUCAAUGUACUGAAAUUCUAAAAGGAACUUGUUUAUAUAAUGCUACCCAAUACAAGGUGUGCAGCCCAGGGAAUGGGCAGCUUGAUGUUUGUUAUAACCCAUCUGAGCCUUCAGUGUCCACAGUAUUCAAAAUAAGGUUAAGGACCAGCCCCUUUCUAAGUGAUACAAGUAAAGUAAUUACUAAGACUGAGGAAAAGGGAAUUCCUAAGCAGAUUACCUUAAUGGCUGUGCAGCCAUUAAUAGCAACAAGCUGGGAUUAGGGUGGUGCUCUCUUAGUUGAGAAAGAAGUUAUACAGCAGAACAUAAGUAUAUCUAUCAUGAGCUAGGAGUAUGCAGACAUUGUGAUUACUGGUCAUGUGUUAUUUGGGCCACUUGAAAAAAUGAUAAAAACAACCCAGUCCACCUCCAAAAAGGAAAAAGUAACUUCUCCUGCACCUCUGGCCAUUAAAAUCCUUUAGAACUAAUAAUUGCCAACCCCCUAGACCCCUGUUGGAGAAAAGGGAAUAUGUGUCCAUGGGAGUUGAUGGGAAAGGGCUGGAUCCUCAAGUUAUCAUUUUAAUCUAGGGAGAAAUCCAGAGGCAAUUUCCCCAACUGAUGUUUCAGACUUUUUAUGAUGUACUAAAUGAGGUAGUUCCAGAACUUUCUAAGAGAGAAAAGAACUUGUUUUUCCAGUUGGCUGAAAAAUGUGGCCAAAACUUUAAAAGGACACUCUUGUUAUGUAUGUGGAGAGACCACUAUGGGAGACCAGUGGCUGUGGGAGGCACGCAAGCUUGUGCCGGCAGACCCAGUUGCUGAUGUAACUUCUGGACAAAAAACUCAAAGUAACAACUUCUGUGUCUUAAAGACUUCCAUUGUUGGGCAAUACUGCUUAGCCAGAACAGGAAAAGGCAUGACAGUCCUGGUGGGAAAACAAGACUGUUUAGGACAAAAAUGUACAGUGGAACCAGUGGCACAACUACUUGGUGGAGUUUAAACUGAACUGAAGUUAACCCCUUUCAAAAGUUUCCCAGUUUGCAGGCUGAUUGGACUCACCCAGAACUUCACAGGGACUGAGUAGCACCUCCUGGCUUAUGCUGGAUAUGUAGGCAUAGAGCUACACCAAACUGCCAGAACAGUGGACAGGUAGUUGUAUUAUUGGUACUAUUAAGCCCUCCUUCUUUUUAUUACCAUCAAGACUGGAGAGAUUCUGGGGUUUCCUGUCUACACCUCACGAGAUAAAUGAGGCCUGGUUAUAGGCAAUUGGAAAGAUGAUGAGUAGCCCCCUGGAAGAAUAAUCCAGUACUAUGGGCCUGCCACCUGGGCAGAGGAUGGCUCGUCGGGUUAUUGUACUCCAAUUUACAUGCUUAACCAAAUCAUUUGAUUACAAGCUGUUCUGGAAAUGCUAACCAACACAACUAGCCAGGCUCUAACCAUCCUGGCCUGACAGGAAACCCAGAUGAGAAAUGCCAUCUACCAGAAUAGACUGGCUUUAGAUUAUCUGCUGGCAGGUGAAGGAGGGGUGUGUGGAAAGUUCAGCCUAACCAGCUGCUGCCUACAGAUAGAUGACCAGGGUCAGGUAGUUAAAAGCAUUGUAAGAGACAUGAUAAAACCAGCACAGGCACCCAUGCAUGUUUGGCAUGGGUUUGGCCCUGGGUCUAUGUUUGGACAGUGGUUUCCGGCUAUAGGAGGAUUCAAAACCAUUGCUAUAGGCAUACUGCUGGUAAUAGGAGCAUGCUUAUUGCUCCCUUGUUUAAUGCUCUUGUUUCUUCAGAUGGUAAAAGGCUUUACUGCCACCUUGGUCUAGGAGAAAACCUCAGCACAAGUUUAUUAGGUGAAUCACUACCGACCAGUCUCACAAGAAGACUCUGACGGUGAGAAUGAAGGUGAGAACUCCCACUAAGAAAGUAAAAGAGUGAGAGUCUCAAAGUGGAGAAAUGAGAUGAAAUGUGAGGGUGAGCCAUUUAUUUACUGCCUGUUGUUUGCUGGUAAAAGAAGUAAAAUAGCAAAAAGCUGAAGUCAGCGAGAUGCUGACCUCACUGGCCUGACCAUGGCGGGCCCGAGGGCUGAAAGAGUAACUCCCCUCUCUGUAACUGGUACCUAUGUUUUCUAUCAGCCUUAAAAAUGUUGCAAAAGAAUGUUUUUCCUACUGCCCAGGACCUUCCCUGAGUCUUGUACAUGUACACCAUGUUUGCAUAAACCAGACCCCCCAUCAGGAAUGUCUCUGACACUAACUAAUUUACUUCCUUUGUUUAACUUUUGUGGCUCUUUCCCUUCCCCCCUCCUGCAUGCACUAAAUGUAAAUUAGCAAAUCAGUGAAAGCCAUAGACUGUAAGGUCAGAUGUCCAGCCAAUGGGUAAUGACACAGUUUUACCUCUGCUCCCCUUUGGGUUGCAUGUCUUUAAAAAGGGAAAGAAACUGCUUUUUGGGGAGCUUGGCUUUUUUGGACACAAGUCAAUGGAUGCUCCAUAGCUAGCUGAAUAAAGUGUUUUCCUUCCUCACUACAGUGUCUGAGGAGAUCUGUCUAAGGCUCAUCCUGCAACACUAUGGCAAUUCAUCGUCCAGAAAUUAUCUGUGGGCUUGUAAAAUAAGAUGACGGAGACAUCAAGUAAAAGCCUAAAGGGCCACAAGAAUGCAGAAGCCUCUUCUAUAGGGGAAGGACCAAAGAAGACAGAUCUAUUUUGAUCUCUGAGGAGCACGUUUUUUCAUAUUCUCUGGAUCUUGGUCCUACCUCAGAUUGAGAGACUGGUCAAGAAAAUUCUAAUCAAGUGAAAUAUUUCAUUUCAUGUCAUAUUCUAAAUUCUAAAAUUAUUUAUACAUUGUCCAAUAUUUUAUUUAUAUUUCAUGUCUUGCAAUGCACCUAUAGGCAAUACGUUGAAAAUAUGAAACGUGUCAGAUGUUUUCCUUAAAAACCUCUUGCCUUUACCCAGGAGGCUGAGUUUGCAGUGAGCCAAGAUGGUGCCACUGCACUCCAGCCUGGGUGACAGAGUGAGAGACGUCAUUGCAAAAAAAAAAUUAUUCUAUUGCUAAGAACACUAGAUUUUCUUCCUAUGGAGAUUUGCAAAUUAAACAUGCCUACCUCCAAAAAACAGUAUCUUGACUUAUUUUUCUAGAUAUUUUAUAAUUAAUAUUAAGCUAUACUUUUAAAAUAAUAUUAAGAUAUACUGUAACAGUAGAUGGCAUUAUAUCAUUAGAUAGGUACAGUCAGAAAAUUCUCCAAAGUUCCAGGUGAGUUUCAGUAAACUGAAUUGAUUAUCUAUACUGGAGCCACUGAACUGCUCAAUUUCUGUACAUUCACACCUCCUUGCAAAAAAUUAACUCUAAUGUACAUGUAUACCCACAGCCCUGCCCAGAUUGGCAUUACCAGAAAUUCAUGGUAUCUGACUACAACUGAAACUGCAAUAAAACCUGACCAUCUUGCUCCUUCUCCGACUAUCCAAUCUAUUGAAAACCUUUUUUGCUUCCGCAACACAUAGACUCCGACAUGUACAUAUUUCAAUUUCAUUUCUCACUUGCCACUCAUUUCUAGGUCUACAAAAAUCACUUCAACUACUUUCCGAGUCAUUGAAUGGCCUCCUCCUUGUUAAAUGCCUCCUAAAAGUCUCUUCCUCUUUUAGUUACCCUUUUGAUAACAUGAGAACCAUUGAUCACUCUGUCCUCAUUCUCUUCUGCUGAAAAGUUCUCUCUCCUUGGCUUUUAGGAGAGCACACCACUCUGGUUUGCAGCUUGUCCUCUGGCUCAUAGCAAGUUAAUAUCCCUGAUGAGUCUGUUUGAGGACUUCCUGUGAUUCCAUUUUGCGGGUUCCCCUGGGUGCAUGUAUACAUGCCUGUGACUUCAUUACCACUGCCUCCCAGCUGGGUAUCUCUCCAUCCCAGAUCUCUAGCUGGGUUGCCAAAACUACAUAUUCAAUUGCCUCCCCACACAGCUCUACUUGGGUGUCACACUAUCUCAAACAACAUAAUGAGGCCCAAGCGCCACAUCUGAUUCUUUACACACACACACCCAACAAACAAGUUAUGUUUCCACAACUGAAAUGCCCGUUUAGUCUGCGUAGUUAUAUCCUUUACUUUUCAUUCAAGCCACUGUCAUUUUUUAUCCGGAUUGCCAUGAUGUAACUGAAUAGGUCUCCAUACCUAUCUUGUCACCUUUCAUUCAAUUCAUUUUUUCACAUUGAUACCAGAGCAACGUUUAUGUGACACAGUAAUCAAGGCUCUUCCAAGACAGAUACCUUUCAAUAGCUCUCCAAUGACCUCAGAAUAAUGUCUAAGGCUUCCUAACAUAGCUUAGAGACUUUUCCAGCCCAUCACAAUCAGAACCCAAGAAUACAUUCCAGUUAGAUGACAGACCUAGGAGGCAGGCCAAUCAACCAGGCUCCCAGGGCCACACUGCUAAACCACUACCAAACUGCUUCCCACUGCUGCCACUCAUGUGGAGCUCCCACAUGCUGACCCCAACAAACUCUGUCUGCAAUUAUGUCCUCAAGAAAUCGUCUGCUACUGUGCCUAGGGAAAUUAAAACAACCCUAGUCUGGAUUCACGUUGUGUCAAGUCAAACAAAAGGUUCAAGUGGCCCUAAAAGGACAGGUUCUAAUGGCCAAGUCUGCAUUUAUGAUGGUGAUUGUUGAUUUCUGAAGAGGCUGUUGCUUUUCAGAAUCACUCACCCUGUGAUUUAGUCCUUUCCCUUCUUUCUUGCCUCCUUUGCCCUACUCUGCCACACUGAGUAGCUUGGCAGUCCACUGGUGUCACAUCUUGGUCCUUUGCUCACAUUGCUUCCUCUGCUCUGAAUACCCUUCCUUCCUGGCCAGUAGCUACGACUCCUGCUCAACUCUUGUCUUCCUUAAUCCAACCAUCAGCUCCUUCGGGAAGAAUUUUCUGCCUUCCCCUGUGAAGCAGUGAUCAGUCACCUUCCUCUCCCCUGCGUGGACCUCUCGGGUAACUAUCACGUGCUGUUGUGUUUAAUAGUUAACAUGGCCGAAUCCUUUCAUCCACGUGACCACAACACCCAGCGCAAUAUGUCCCUCAUAGUAGCUAUUCGAAAAAUUUGGUACUCAAAGUCCACUGCUGUCCAACACAACAGUGUGAACAAUGUAUUGUAACAAAUUUCAUAUUGAAAAUAAUCAUUCUACGGCACAGUGGAGAAAGAUUUAGCCUAAUAUGCAUUUUAAAAAUAUUGAUUCCAUUAAAUGAAAUACAAAACAAAUUCAGUGGGAUGGGCCUACAGCUUUAGUUUAGGAGUUGCAGGAGAAAACCAGAUCAACAUAAUUUGCAUUCCUUUGUUAGGAUACUAAUCUCUCACUAGGUUUGGUUACCAGCGUUUUUUAGGUUGCUUCACAUCUCUCAAACAUGACUCAAACUAAUGAAAAGAAGGUAAACCAUGUCAAAAAGCCAUUAGGUAAUGGAAUCAGUGUCUAUAUUGGUUGGGAACAGGAAGAUGACUCGAUGACCCACCCACCCCGCCAAAAAGCAGCCACUUAAAAAUCAAAACCAAUACAAUCUCAGGAAACACGGAGACUGUUCACAGAAGGCACAAAACGCAUGGCGCGCCCUUACCCCCCUCUCUAACCCCAGGCACUGAGAAUCUGCUCUCACCCAACAUGCCCCACCUAGCCCCCGAGUCCACGCUCACUCCAUUCAAAGCAAACAGCUGUCUUGCCCACCUUGAACUCUGAAGGGCAGGCCACUUGCACACAGCACGCUCCCAACAGCACCAGGCCAGGCCCCUGUUCGCCCAGCACAGCCCAUGCCUGCCCAGCCCAUCGGGCACAGCGGACGGACGCGCCACAGCACUUUUCGCAGAUACCGCGCAGGGGCUAAGGAACACCCCGCUCACCAACGCACCAAACGCGCCGCCCAGGGAACACAGGUUAAACUCUCACCGGAGGCACAGCACGGGCCCUAGCAACACUCCCACGCACCCGUGCACGCUAAAGCAAGCCCUUACCAGGGGCACCCAGUCCGCGCUCCCCUUGCCGACUGGACUGAAUCCCGAAAACACGGUGCACGCUUUUGUUGGGGGCGCAGCCACACGCUGCGCACCUGUGCGCACAGGCCGGCUGCGCACAUCAUCCCAGCAAACAAGCUUCACCUUGGGCUCUAAGUGGUCCCGGCAUCCCCUGCCACACACCCCAGGGAUCUGCGCACUGCACCCCUCGCCUCAAGAACCCUAGCCUCUCCCUCUACCCCAAGCAGGCAGGACCUACUCAGCCCGGACCCGCGCCUCCUGCGCGACUGACUGAGCAGAGUUCCAGCCUGUCGGUUGACGCGCGAACCCGCCCCAGGGUCCUACCGGAGCAGGAGGACAGGAGCAACACCAGGACCGCCAGAAGCAACCCAAGAAAGCGCCGGAAAGGAAGGG